UGUGAAUUCUCAUGUGCUCUGGUUCCAGCUGAGGCUCAGCAGCAUCCUCUGCUCCUCCUCACACUGGGCCACAUCUGUUUGAGUUUAAAGCAGGCAUACCCAGUCAGAGCAUCUCUCACUGUUCUUCAUCCCAGCCUAAACCAAGCCAGCUAGAAGGACUAGUAAAACUCAUCCUGAGUGUGUCUCAGCUGCAGGACUGCUUCACACACAGAGUGAAAUGCAUUUGAGUGCUUCUGAAGCUGCUGAUCUCCUGAACUUUCACCAUGACUAUCAUUCAGUAAUGUGAAAACAAAACCAGUGAGCUCUCUUUAAUGAUGAAAGAACUCUGAGAGAACAAUCAGACUGGUUGUAGCAGACAGAGAGACCAGGAUCACUCAGACAGAAACUCUUUAAAACUGCGCUGAGCAGGAAAGCAGCUCCUCCUCCUCCUGACUGCAGAAACCUGUCUGACUCCAGCUGUGAACAUCAGACCACUCACAGCUAACUCCCAGUGAACAUCACUUCCAACAUUUCUCCUCUGGAAACAUGGAAAAACUGGCUGUGAUUUGGAUCUUUGCAGCUCUCGUAGCAGGUAACAGCUUGGAAGAUGAUAUUACUGCCAGCAGUGCUGAAGUGUUUUCAUCAGAGGGCCGAACAGUUACUGUGUCCUGUAACUAUUCAGUUAAAGCUGAGAAUCUCCAGUGGUAUCGACAGGAUCCUGGAUCAGCUCCUCAGUUCCUUCUCCUCAUCACUGAUACGAGUGAGCCGACUGUGGUAAGAGCAACUCCCCCAAACCCUCGACUGACUUGGUUCGCUCGCUCUGCGAAGAGAAAUCGAGUCGAUCUGGAGAUCUCCUCUGCUGCAGUGACAGACUCUGCUGUGUACUACUGUGCUCUG